AUAAAAACUGGCCACCACGAAAUAGCCUAAAUGCGGUGCUUAAAAGUGGUGUUAAAACACAUCAAAAUCAAAUCAUGACAUAAAUCUGGAUGUAUUGCUUGACAUGACAAAUUGACGGUACUGCCUGACAUGACACAAAGAAUAAGGUGUAUUGCUUGACAUGACACAUCAAAACAAGUUGUUCCACAAAUAAGCAGCUGCAAGCAUCAAUAUUUAUAAAGAAAUGAGAGAUGUUUUAAACUUUAAUUCAAACCAAAAAGUAGUCUUAAAAAUAUAAAGCAAAAUUUGGGUGUGCUGUUUCUGGCAGCAGAUUCAUCAAUGUUUGUGAUUAAAUCAAUUUAUGGGGAACCACCAGUUGUAGGUCAAUGAUAAUUGGUAUGCAUUUGUAUAAGCAUUGGCACAUCACAUUUCUAAGGAGAGCAUCUGGCUAUGCCCCCAUCAUUUUUGGCAGAUUUUUAUAAAACUUGUUUCAUAGGUUUAUAUUAGAAAUGUCUUAAAUGCGUUUGAAAAUCGGUGCUGUUCAAUUUGUAUGCCCUACCUUUAAGUUUUACCCCUGUAUGUCCCAUUGUUGGUUUCCGUUCUCUUACUUUUUGCCUCGACCAAAUGUUGUGAACUUGUACGCAAUGCUUAUUAAUACAAAACUGGGAUACAGUUUGAAUUUUUGUGGUGUCUAUUUUAAAAACUGCCCUAGAAUUAUGCCCC
rnacentral:lncRNA from 1 species